GUAAACCUCUUUUAGCAGGGAAGAAGCGAAAGUGACGGUACCUGCAGAAAAAGCACCGGCUAACUACGUGCCAGCAGCCGCGGUAAUACGUAGGGUGCAAGCGUUAUCCGGAAUUAUUGGGCGUAAAGAGCUCGUAGGCGGUUUGUCGCGUCUGCUGUGAAAACUGGGGGCUCAACCCCCAGCCUGCAGUGGGUACGGGCAGACUAGAGUGCGGUAGGGGAGAUUGGAAUUCCCGGUGUAGCGGUGGAAUGCGCAGAUAUCAGGAGGAACACCGAUGGCGAAGGCAGAUCUCUGGGCCGUAACUGACGCUGAGGAGCGAAAGGGUGGGGAGCAAACAGGCUUAGAUACCCUGGUAGUCCACCCCGUAAACGUUGGGAACUAGUUGUGGGGUCCAUUCCACGGAUUCCGUGACGCAGCUAACGCAUUAAGUCCCCCGCCUGGGGAGUACGGCCGCAAGGCUAAAACUCAAAUGAAUUGACGGA
rnacentral:rRNA from 1 species